GCAUUAAUGGGGUAGUGGUAACCUGGGUCGUUGCCAUUUGUAUAUCGACCCGCCGGGGGUUCAAUUCCCCCUUAAUGCA
rnacentral:tRNA from 1 species